GGGGCUGACUUGGAUUUCGACAGAUUUCUUGUCGCACAGAUAGCAUGCCAAGUGCUGCUUGUAAAACAGCAACAAAAAUAACUGUAAACAACGCAGAUUACGCUCCAGCUUACGCUAAAGCUGCGUGAGUUAAUCUCCUUUUGGAGCUGGACUGAUUAGAAUUUCUAGCGUUUUAAUCACUCCAUAACCUUAAGCUAGACGCUUUUAAAAGGUGGUUCGCCUUUUAAAAUAAGAAACAAGAACUCUUGAAACUACCUCAAGGUUUUAGAAAGUUGGACCAGAGCUAGUUUUAAGGCUAAAAAGCUAACCAAUUUUCUAAGCAUUGUAGAAGUUUGUGUUUAGGGCAAGAUUUUUGGACUGGGGUUCGAUUCCCCACAGCUCCACCA
rnacentral:tmRNA from 1 species